rnacentral:rRNA from 1 species
GAUGAACGCUGGCGGCGUGCCUAAUACAUGCAAGUCGAGCGAACGGACGAGAAGCUUGCUUCUCUGAUGUUAGCGGCGGACGGGUGAGUAACACGUGGAUAACCUACCUAUAAGACUGGGAUAACUUCGGGAAACCGGAGCUAAUACCGGAUAAUAUUUUGAACCGCAUGGUUCAAUAGUGAAAGACGGUCUUGCUGUCACUUAUAGAUGGAUCCGCGCUGCAUUAGCUAGUUGGUAAGGUAACGGCUUACCAAGGCAACGAUGCGUAGCCGACCUGAGAGGGUGAUCGGCCACACGGGAACUGAGACACGGUCCAGACGCCUAAGGGAGGCAGCAGUAGGGAAUCUUACGCAAAGGGCGAAAGCCUGACGGAGCAACGCCGCGUGAGUGAUGAAGGUCUUCGGAUCGUAAAACUCUGUUAUUAGGGAAGAACAAAUGUGUAAGUAACUGUGCACAUCUUGACGGUACCUAAUCAGAAAGCCACGGCUAACUACGUG